rnacentral:rRNA from 1 species
GACAGAGGGUGCAAGCGUUAAUCGGAAUUACUGGGCGUAAAGCGCACGUAGGUGGAUUAUUAAGUUGGCUGUGAAAUCCCUGGGCUUAACCUAGGAAUUGCAUUCAAAACUGCUAGUCUAGAGUACAGUAGAGGGAAGUGGAAUUUCCGGUGUAGCGGUGAAAUGCGUAGAUAUCGGAAAGAACAUCAGUGGCGAAGGCGACUUCCUGGUCCAGCACCGACGUUCAGGCACGAAAGCGUGGGGAGCAAACAGG